UAAGUACUCCCUCCGUUCCGAAUUACUUGUCUUGGAUUUGUCUAGAUACAAAUGUAUCUAGACUCAUUUUAGUGCUAGAUACCUCCGUAUCUAGACAAAUCUAAGACAAGUAAUUCGGAAUGGAGGGAGUAUAUG
rnacentral:pre_miRNA from 1 species